rnacentral:rRNA from 1 species
UACGGAGGGUGCGAGCGUUAAUCGGAAUUACUGGGCGUAAAGCGCGCGUAGGCGGCUUGGUAAGUCGGAUGUGAAAGCCCCGGGCUUAACCCGGGAACUGCAUUCGAUACUGCCUGGCUAGAGUAUGGUAGAGGGUGGUGGAAUUCCUGGUGUAGCGGUGAAAUGCGUAGAUAUCAGGAGGAACAUCAGUGGCGAAGGCGGCUACCUGGACCAAUACUGACGCUGAGGUGCGAAAGCGUGGGGAGCAAACAGG